rnacentral:precursor_RNA from 1 species
GAGGACCGUAUUCAUGGAAGAGGAUUGAACAGUAAAGAGCCCAGGAUUUGAUAAAAAUGAGAAUAUAUCGCCUCAAGCAGAAGCAGAUGAAUAUAUGGGAGAUGAAGUAGACAGUAUGUUGGAUAAAUCUGGAGUAAAGAACCCAGCAAUUGGUAAAGAUGAGAAUAUAUCGCCUCAAGUAAAAGGAGAUGAAGACAUGGGAGAUGAAAUUGACAGUAUGUUGGCUACAUCUGGAGGUCUUUUCUCCUGAGAACACGGGACUCCAGCAUCUUCGGAUUCUGCUCUUGGAGGUGUGAGUCCCUGCCUCUCUGCACAGGGGAACUUAUGUCUCUCCACAUGUCCGCAAAUGUCUACCCAAGAUUAUACAUCUUCCAAAGGCUUUCAAAUACUUCUUUACAUAAACAAGAUGUGUGCAGCUGAACAGAGCGUUGAGGAAACGUCAGUGAUUUUAUAACUACUUAUCAUGUUGGGAGAUUGUUGUGAUGAUUGCCUGGACUCUCAGAUGUUACACAGGCUGCAUCAUUGGACUGAAAGUGAAUGGCCCAUGUGUUGCCACUGAUGUGAGCCAUUUGCCUGUUGUGCUUCA